GAUAAUGGACAAUGGGGGCAACCCUGACCCAGCCAUGCCGCGUGAGUGAUUAAUGCCUUAUGGUUGUAAAGCUCUUUCAGUGGGGAAGAUAAUGACGGUACCCACACAAGAACCCCCGGCUUACAUCGUGCCAGCAGCCGCGGUAAUACGAAGGGGGCUAGCGUUGUUCGGAUUUACUGGGCGUAAAGCGCACGUAGGCGGAUUGGUCAGUUAGGGGUGAAAUCCCGGAGCUCAACUCCGGAACUGCCUUUAAUACUGCCAGUCUAGAGUCCGAGAGAGGUGAGUGGAACUCCUAGUGUAGAGGUGGAAUUCGUAGAUAUUAGGAAGAACACCAGUGGCGAAGGCGGCUCACUGGCUCGGUACUGACGCUGAGGUGCGAAAGCGUGGGGAGCAAACA
rnacentral:rRNA from 1 species